GUACCUGUCAGCAGUCUGUAUGCUGGGCUGUAGCACAGGUAUGAAUUCCUGCUGCAGUAACCCCAUGGGAGGGCUAGAAGUCCUUUAAAAAACAGCAAAUAGCAGCAUUCAAACACCCACACACCAACUCCCCCUCUGGUGCAAAACAACUCUCCAGAAAAAGGAGCAACAAAGAACUAGGGUGAGACCACACAGCAAUCUGACCACCAAACAGCCAAAGGGGUGCAGAACCCUAACAGCAUCAAACAUGCAAAUAUCCCCAGAUUUCAUUGCAAGGCUGUUCUGCAACUGUGGUCUAAAUAUAGACACAUAUUUUUGGACAGUUACACUGGGAGAAAGGACAGCGGUAGGUGCAAAAACAAUUCACAGUUGUACUACAAUGAACCGUUGUAGCUCUUCCCAGGAAGCGUGUCAAUCAGAAAAGACUUAAUCAGAGAAGCACUGCAGAUACCACAGCUUCCCUGCAGAGCUGGCAAGAGAGCGUCAGCGAACUGGAAGAGCCCACAACUUGGAGUUAAGGGAUUUGCUGCUGAGCCCAAGCCGAGUGCAUGCACAGUGGGUAUCGGCCAAGUUGAGUACAUGACAGUGUUUGUUACAGGUUGCCUAAGUAUCUUUUCAUUAGCCCACAGAUGGCCUUUUUCACCUUUUCAAACUCAAACUGCAUACAAAAACGGCUGUUAGAGGACGUCACAAUGUCAGAGCACAAAUGCCCACUCAGAGCAACCUCCCAUUUAUGACUAGGAGGGCCACAUGAACUAGCCACCAAAAGGCAUCUCAGCUGAAAGACAGUUUGUCUUCUCAGUGAAGUUAAGUCCUUAUCUACAUGUGCUUUCUAUAACACAAGAUAAUAACCUCACACAUCCAGCUUAGAGCAAAUCCAACACCCCACCUAAGGAGAAAUGAGAAAUUUGGUAUAUACAGAACAGGUAUAGUUUCUGACCCUAAGUCUUUCAAAAUGUCACCUAAAUCUUAUUAGGCACCCAAGUACCGAGUGCAUCGUUCAUCCCCAUAGAUGCUAAGAAGGGAGCAGAGAAGCAAGACUCGCACUUACAUGCCUAUAAUAUUGAGUUAGGUGCCUACCUUCAGAUUUCACAGGUGGGCAUUUUGGUUAGUAUCUAUAAUUUAUUAAUGAAUAUGGAUGGAGAGCUAUGCUUAUAAAAGUCAAAGAUGGGGCAUUUUAGUAGUACAGAAACACUCCAGUACAGCUACAAUAACCCGAAAUAAAAUAUUCACAAGAAUUCCUCAAAUGAGAUAAUUUUUCAAGAGUUCUUGGUGUCAACGAGUCCACUACUUGCAAAAAUGGACAAGGGGAACAGAAAAUACAAAGCAACAGCAAGAUGUUAUUAGUCCCAGAGUGGCAGAUGUUUGCAAAAGGGAUUCUGUGCAAUGGUGUCUUCAUUACUGUUUGCAAGAUCUGCAGUCAGAACUAAACAUACCCAAGUGCACAAUCAGAAUAAAAAUUACACUUUCAAGAUACUGUUCCACUUCAAACCAACUGAGCUUUUCCUUCUCUGUCCCCAAAGGGAGAUGUGAUGGGAAUGUGAGUAGAGGCAGAACACUCAACAGCUUUCACAUCAAGUUUACACAGUUUGGUAUGCUAAGAUUAGACUAAUUAGAGUAAGACUUAUCAAAAAGUGGAGCAUGAUAUUAAUCAGUCAUUCCUUGCAUAUUGUUCUUUUCCUCUUUAACCUCACUAGUUAACACUGCCACUACUGACAUGUAUAAUCAGUAAAACUAUGAAACUUGGCUUGUCUAGAAUGGAGUUCAGAGGCACUUAGUGGUUGCAUUCCAAGCUCAUCGUAGAAGUCUUGUUGACAGUGCAAACAGAAUGAGCUGGCUAUAUCACCAGUUAAAACCAAAACCACGGACCUUCAUAUUCCCACAAUGGAUACAAGCAAAGGGAAAGCUUACAAGCUUGUAUAUACAAAGCUAUAUGUAUAUAUAUUUUGCAGGACCCAAUUAUAAGUCUGCAGGCUGCCAAGAUCUUCCUUCAGCUUUUGAAAACCACAUUGCAGUUUGCUUUCCUGGGUUCAGAAAAAUGAAUAUCAUUUCCUAUAAAGUAUAAGGUACUGAGGAAAAGUACUGGAAGAAUGUGGAAUUCACCUGGGGAGAAAAAGUCCUCUAAGUCAUGAAACAAAAAGCUGUCCUUAUAAAAACCAUGUAAUACCUGUAAUACAUUUCCCAUCAAUUAAGAUGCAGGAUUGCUACGUACAUUUAUGCUGAGGAAAGAUCAGGCAAAGGAGCAACGACUUCAUCUUUGGACUGCUGUGGCAAACUCACAGAGUCUUCCUGUGCAUGACUGAAUAGUAUCUAAGCUGCCUCAGCUAAUUACUGGGAUAGUGCAGCAGCUCAUACAACCAGAACUGGUGGUAGUUUUGAAAGAUGAAAGCCAGUCUGCAGAUUUUGAGACUAGCAACCACUGACCCAGGAAACGGAGCUGUGCUGGAGCACUUUAUCUAAAACCCUAGCUGGGGGAGACCAUGAGCUAACUAGUGUUGCUGAGGUCAACAGUGUUGAGUGACACCAUCCCUGAGCCUCAUACCUAGUCCAGCUAAAAAAA